rnacentral:RNase_P_RNA from 1 species
CCUGCUCUUUAAGUGAUCGCCCGCCGUAGUCCGCCUUAGGUGGACGAAGGUGGGAGGAAAGUCCGGGCAUCAACUUUCGCGCUUGCGAAGGGUGAUCUUAGGUCGUAGCUCCGCGCUACGGUCGACAGGUCACCGGAACGCCUAGUGGAUAACAUCCAUCUACCUGUCAUAUAUUCGGUAAAGGCGGGUAAGGACCAGUGCCACAGAGACGAGCCCCUUUGGUGGGGCGUGAAACGCCUCGGAGUACCGAGGGCCCCGCUACCAAUUAGCGAUGCCGGUAAACUCUAGGUGAUGUAAGGAGGAUUUGGGUGGUCAGAAUUCGUGAUGGUUCCGUCACACUGACUGCUCCUCCGCUUGAGGCUUCGGGUAACCGUUGCCCUAGAUAGAUGAUCGCUCUCGACAAGACCCGGCUUACAGAAGAGCAGGACCA